rnacentral:lncRNA from 1 species
UUUUUUUUUUGAGGUUAUAAGUAUUUAUGCUAUUUCAAACAAGUGAUAAGUAAGUGUUAUGAAGGGCAGAGUGUAAACAAAUCAAAGAAAUUGAGUUUUGUCGAAGUUUAAAAUUUUGGAAUGUAAUACGAUCCAAGCUAUAAUACCUCAUAUUUAUGGACUAGUACUAUACCACAUGAUCAUGAUAGGAUAUUAUAUGAAGUAUGUUAAAGGUGAUUAAUACUUUAGUGAAACCUGAUCUAGAAAGGAAUUAUGUGUGUAACUAAUUAAAUUGGAAAUUAUAGUAGGAAGAGGAGAAAUAAGUCAAAGAAUAUUGAAUAACUAUUAUGUGGUUAUGAUUCACAUGGGUUAGGAAUAGGUGGCAGCCAAGGGAUGGAGACAUGAAUGCAUAAGGUGGAGGAGACACCUAUUUUGUCUAUAAAAGUUACAUGUGCAUAUAAAAGGUAUUGGCAUCUUAUAAAGAAGGAGGACCUAUGAUUGGCACAUUUAUAGGUAAAGUUACUACUUAAUAAAUUUAGAUGACUUUCCUAACUUUUCAUUUAAGUAAGAUACUUGCUCAAAAUGUGAAUGGAAAUACAUACCACAUUAGCGUAAUAUUUCAAGGGAUUAAGGUCAUUCAUGAGGUUGUAGAGGAUUUGUGACUAUGUUAUUAUAAGACCCCGUAAAUUUAACAACCUUGAUACCGUUAGAUACAUUUUUAUAUGAUAUUUAUUUUGAGUGGAACAUUUUUUAUAAAAACGUUUGAAAAAUAUAAUUUUAUAUGGUUAUUAAUAUUACUACUUCCGAAUAUGAUUUAAAUUAUACAUAUAAUAUGAGAAAGUUUAUGAAAUUUUUUUUAUUGUAAAGAUAAAAAAAAUUCUCAGAAGAAAAGAAGGUUAUGUUUUUACCAUUUAAAAAUUAAGCGUACGAAAAUUUGUACUCUUUAUACGAGAUUAGGAAAAUUAGAAGCUAAUAAAAUAUAUGUAUUUUUACAUGGAUGUUUUAAUAAAAUAUUAGUGUAUGUAUUAAUUUUAUAUGGUACCAUAAUUUAUUAAUAUUUUAAUAUUUUAAUAGUAGUACUUUAGGAUAAGGAGUUCUUGACAAUUAAGAGGUGACAAGGAUGUCACCACGUGGCUACAUAGCAAGGAGCAGCAAGUGACUAAUACAAAUUAUCAUGUUGGUGGCAUCUUAUAGCCAAUUCUUAGUGAUAAAGUCAUGGCUUUAAUUGUGUGGGACCAUGGACAUAAAUAAAGCAAUUCUUCACUUAAGCUCUCAUUUUAGUGAUAUGGAAUUUACAAAACGAGGUUGCUCUCUACAGGGCUUAGACAAACAAAAACGAGCAGAGGGGUUAGUCACGACAAGUAUACAUUUGUUUGGUUGUUUCUAACUCGUGGUGCUAUUGUUAAGCCGGAAAUAGUUCAAGAUUGAGGUGUAGAGGAGAUUGUUCACAAAUAUAAGUAUGAAGUUGAUAUUAAAGGUAUGUUAAGGCUAAUCCUUUCUUCUUUUGGCAUGAUCCAAGUAUAAUAUUAUUCCAUAAAUGAUUCUACUCUUAGUAGUUAAUGAUGUCUUUGCUAUUCAUUCCUAUGAAAUAUAAUUCAAAGAAUGUCUAAGUAUGUUUCUAAGUCUCUAUUGAGGAAUAUGAUAAAGAUGUUAAUGUUCAUAAUAUAGUGAUACAUGCAUCUUCAUGCAUUUACCACCGUGCUACGGCCGGUUGGGUAGUCAUGCAUAUUCAUUUACUACCAUGUUAUGGCCGGUUGGGCAGUCAUGCAUAUUCAUUUACCACCGUGCUACGGCUGGUUAUGCAUCCAUGCAUCUUCAUUUACCAUCAUGCUAUAGCCAGUUGGGCAAACAUGUAUCUUUAUUUACCAUCAUGCUACGACCGGUUGGGCAGUCCUGCAUAUUCAUUUACCACCGUACUAUGGCUGGUUGGGCAGUCAUGCAUAUUUAUUUACCACCGUGCUACAGUUGAUCGGGCAGGCAUGCAUUUAUCAUCGUGCUAUGGCCAGUCAGGCAGUCAUGUAUUUACCAUCGUGCUACGGUCGGUCGAGUAUCAUGCAUUUACCACCGUGCAACGGCCGGUCGGGCAGUUACCACUGAUCAGUUGGGCAGUCAUGUUACAAUAUGGAUAAUAGUCUCAAAGAGAAGCAUUAUAUAUAUAUAUAUAUAUAUACAUAUAUAAAGUAUAAUUAGUAUCCAUGUAUGUUGGCACCUCAGAGAUUCAGGUUGAUUUUUAUCUGUCUUUAAUUAAUGUUGACUUAUCUUUAUGUUUCAGUUAUGCCUCACAUACUCGGUAUAUUAUUUGUACUGACGUCCUUUUGUUGUGGACGGUGCAUUCAUGCCUACAGGUAUAGGUAAUCAAUUUGACGAGCCCUUGUAGUAGACAAGGUUAGCAUUUAGUAAAGGAUCGGUAAGACUCCAGUUCAUUCGGAGUGCAGUUGAGUCUAUAAGUCAUCGUGUCAGAGUUUUGCUAUAGACUAUGGUUAAGCAGAGGCCCUGUCCCCUUUAGUAUCGAAUAAUCGUAGAGGCUUUGUAGAAAGAGGUUCAUGUUUUACAAUAUGUUAGAGGCCUUGACUGCCCGUAUGUAUUUAUGUAUUAAGAACGAUGGUUCCUUGAUACAACAUUUGCCCACUUAUAGUUAUACAUUACGAGUUGUGGACAUGUUGGCCCAUGAUAGUUAUAGAAGAAAAUAAUGAGUUACGGGGUGGUUUGCUCGGGCGAGUACAGCACCAGGUGCUAGCCACGCCUCUGCAGGUUUAGGGCGUGGCAAAGAAUGUGCACGAUGGUGGAGGACAGAAGCUGACAGGAUGCAACCGCCACUUGAUGAAAGUGAACUAACCAAGUACUUUAUCCGAACCCAGGAGGGAAUAUACUUUGAAAAGAUGAUGGGAAAGAUGGGCCAAAAGUUCCCCCAGCUGGUUAAGAUAGGAGAUUUCCUAGAGGACGGCAUAAAAUCUGUUAAGGUGCAAUCCAUGGUAGGACUGCAAGCGGCCAGCCAGGCUAUCCAGUCAGGAUCGAUCAGUAGCAGAAAGAAAAAGAAAGAAGAGGUCUCAGUAGUCGUCCCCUACUAUCAAACUAGCUCAUCUCCUAGAAGCACCUCGUACUCCCCAAACAACCACUUAUCACCACCCAUCUAUGCUUCAAUCUAUAAUACCCAACCAUGCUACCACCCUUAACACAAUACAACCCUCCUCGAACCAACAACAACCAAAACCCACAAAGACCAUAUGCUCUUGUCCAACUACUACUCACCAAAAUUGACCAGUGUAUGCACCACGUCCUCGUCCCAACAUUGAAGAAAGGGGUCCCAGAACUUAUACCCCGAUUGCUGAGCCUCUGGACCAAUUGUUUGAAAGGUUGAGAAGGGUAGGAUUGAUACACCCAAUCAAAGGAAGGGUUCCUCAACAUGCCUCCAAAUAUUUUUAUGCCACUAAGAGAAGCGUGUAUCAUUCCAAUGUACCGGGGCACGAUACUGAAGACUAUUUCAAGUUGAAAAAUGAAAUUGAAACUCUAAUCAAGAGCAGAGCUAUUCAUUUCACUCCAGCACCACCUAAUGUGAAUUGCAACCCAUUGCCAAAUCAUCAAAACUGGGGAGCUUACAUGAUCAUGUUAGAUGAAGAAUAUGACUUGAAGGGAUCUAUAUCACUAUAGGGAAUGCAGAAGCCGCAAGGAUCCCUCCUCAAAAGGCUCCUAUCUUUAUAGUACAACUAAAGCCUACAGUGACAGUUCAAACUUAUCCGCAGCAACCUGCCGGCACUACUCAAUGAAGAAGAUCAAGAAUAAAAAAUCGUCUCUUGGACCUAUCAGCAAAAAGGAAAAGCCAAAAUGACAGACUCUACCACAGCCCAUGGUAUGAGUAGGUCUAGGAUAUGCUACGCCUCAGAAGAGGUCAAUCGAGGAAAUACGGGGAGAGAAAAAAUUCCAAGGAGGAACAUAACAAACCUAGAAGCCACGGAGUUUUGGAAAAGGAUGUCAAGUAGAGAGUAUUAUAUGGAAGAACAAUUAAAGAAAACUCCAUUGCAGAUAUCCAUCAUGGAUCUAUUGAUGAGCUCUAACAGCCAUAUGGACGUUUUGUUAAAAGUACUAAGAGGGGUAAGUGUACCAAGUAACACCCCAUCGAGGCAUUGGCAUCACAAUAUAAGGAAUAGAGCAAGAGACUCCAAGAAAGCAAACUAAAUCAUAGAUAUAAAAGUUUCCCUACAAAGGGGUUGGCUUCAACAACCCAUAAGGGACGGUUUGCCAAGCUACACAAACAGUUGAUUUGCUUAUAGUCGCAAAAAUUUUCCUACAAAGGGGCUGGCUUCAACAACCCAUAAGGGACGGCUUGCCAAGCUACACAACUCAUAAAACUUUUGUACUAUAAAUAACGUUAGUUGUUUAUAACUCAAAAAACUUUCGUACUAUAAUAAGCUAACUUUCUUAGAGUAUUCUUACUCUAUUUUCAUACAUGGACCGGCCUUUCCAUCCAUUUUAAAGAAAGAACAAGAGGAAANNNNNNNNNNNNNNNNNNNNNNNNNUACAAGAUGAUCUUACAACUACUACAAGGCCUCCUUUAUAUAGGAUUAGGAGGUUACUACAAGACAAACUUACAUUAUAAAAUAAACCUAUCUUAUAUAGAAAACUUAACUACAAUUGGGUCCCUCUUGGAAUGUGAAGGACUUUAGGCAAAACAUCUAAAAAGCUCCUGAAAAUAUGUGAAAGGGGUGAAAUAUACAUGGUAUAGCAUGUGAAAGUAUGAUGGAGCAUGUGAUGGCAUGUGAAAAUAGGGUGUUGCAUGUGAAAGCAAGUGGAAGUGGGGUCUGGAUAGUAUGGAAAGAUGUGAAAAUUUGUCUUGGCAUGGGUAGAUGAUUUUUUAGGGUUUUUUGGUAGGUAAUGUAAGAUUAUGGUGGGAUUAGCAGGGAUUUAGAUAAUUAUCCUUCGUUGAUUCUAGGGUUGUCUUCUAGGCAUCUUUUCAAAGACCUUGUGUAGAUUAGCCUGGAACUUGCCAGUCGUUCUUCGCUGUGCUCUUUCUCCUUUGGAUUGAGAGAUGUAAUUCGCAACCUUAAUCUGGAUAUGUCAUGAGUGAUCUUUUCUCAAAUGACUUCGUAUGGGGUUUGAUAUUCUUUUGUUGCUUUCUGGACUUUUUCCCUGUGCGGAUGAGUGUUGGUCUAAUUCCAGUUUGCCCAAUCUUUUGGCCAUAUCUCUCUCGGGAUGCACUUGUUUUGCUGGAAAAGGAUUCUUUCUGUUUUUCUAUAUAUUCUUCUUCCAUGGAUAAAAUGGACACGAGAAAUUUUCACCAGAAUGAUGACUCUGCUUGUACCUGGACUUUUCCAUUGAUAAUCUUCACUGGCCUAUGGAACAUGAAUACCUUUGUUGUGUAGGAAUCGUUGAAGCAUUUUAUCUAAUAUCUUCUAGGCUUGAACCAUAGUAAAAAUACUUUAAGAUCUAGUUCAAUGUUACCAAAAUCCUUGAAGACGUUGCAUUUGAAUUCCAUAAAAAUAUAAUACUGAUGGCAUAGGUACCAAAAAAACCAUAAUAGUUCUUGUGGAAAAUCCUUGGCUUGUGCCCAUAAGGCUUAAGAAUGGAUCCUCCGUGUUGUCGAAAAACUUGGAGCUCAUAAUAAGUUCUCCUUUCCAUUAAAAUUAAUGGAUCAAAGGGAUCCAUGAGGUUGAACAACUCUGGUGGAUGAUCUAUUAGUUUCAAUGAACUUGUUCCUAAUACAUUUGAAAACAUGAAGAUGUGGCUAAUUAACUUUUACUUUGACAUCAUCUUCGUUGGGAAAAAUCUCCUUGAUAAUUCUUCCGGUCGAGACAGAAAAUCUGCAAAAAAAAAAAUCUUUCCUUUCAGGUGCUUAACUUGAAACUUAUGUGGAGAGAACCAUUGAGCCCAUCUAAGAAUCUGAUGANNNNNNNNNNNNNNNNNAUUUCUUGAUUCCAUUCUUUAUUGCAAGAAUUUCCUUGAAAGUGGAGUGAUAAUGUUGCUCGUCAUCUUUGAACUUUCCACUUCAUAUCCGCAUAUUUUCCUCGGGCCAUUUUUUUCUUCCAAUAGAACGGCACUCCAAUAUUCAUUAUUGACAUCAGUUUGCAGUAUCUUCUUUACAUCUGAAGGGAUGUAGAUGGACUUGACAUUUUUAAUUAUCUCCUUUAUUUCCCUAUCUUCAUCAUCUUGUUUCUUUUCCCAUGAUGGAGCAUUUUUCUUGAGCAUCUAUGUGAGCGGAGAAAUGUAUGUCGAGAUAUUUGGGAUGAAAUCUCUUACAUAAUUUAUGACACCCAAAAAUUGUUGCAUCUACUUUGUUGUGAGGCCGGUAUCUGGAAACUUUAGAAUUUCCUGACAUAUAUGGGGUCCUAGACUAUAUGCACCUUGGACAAAAUUCAUUCCUAGAAAAUCAAUCUCUUUUUGAGCAAGAACCAUUUUUUUGCUAAAAGCAUAAUUCCAUACUAUGUUACCAAUGCCUCAAAUUCAUGAAGCAAGUUGACAUGUUCCUCCAAUGUAUCACUAAAUAACAGGAUGCAUCAAUGUAAACUAAAGAGGUAUGGAGGAUGGGAUGGAAUAUUUUAUCACGACUUUUUGGAACAGGUGCAGUUUUUAAUCCCGAAUGGCAUAACUUUCCAUUGAAAAUGAUGAUCGGGGAUGCAAAACCCCGUUUUGGCUCUUUCUUCAGGGUGAAAUCCCAAUUUCCAAAAUCCAGAUUUAAGAUCAAACUUGGAAAAAUAUUUGGCCUUGGCUAAGUGGGAGAAAAAAGUAAGUUUAUUUGGGAUAGGGAAUUUAUCAUCUUGGAGGAAGUGGUUGAGCGGCUGGUAGUUAAUGACUAACCUGAGUUUUCCUCUUGCCUGCUCAACUCUUUUGUUGACAUAAAAUGCUUCGCAUGCCCAUUGUGAAUAUGAUGGCUCUAUUAGAUCAAAUUCUAAGAGUUCUUCACAUUCCUUUUUUGCAAACUGAAGAUGAUCCAGAUUCAUGCCUGAAUGACUGGCUUUUGUUGGAUUGAUGCUUUCAUUCUUCUUAAAAGGGAGCUUGAUAAAAAAACUCUUCAUUCAUCCAUAAUAGGCUUUUCCUUUUCUUCAUAAAAUCCCUAUGGGAUUCAGCACAUGAAUGCUCAAUGAGAUUUUGUUCAAUAUCUUUGAUUUGUUCGUCAUUGGUGAUUUGGAAUAACCUUGGAAUUUUAGAAUAAGGUCUGAACUUCUUCUUAAAGGUUAUCUCGUUAGCCCUAAUCUGGAGUUGAUCUUUUAGUUGUCUGAAAAUGUCAAAUCCAAUAAUAAGAUCUUUCCCUGGUACAUCGGACCCUAUUGGCUUGGUUCAAUAUUUCAAUCCUGGAAAAAACUCAAUUGUGACUGGGUGCUUGUGAUGACAGUUGCGGUCAAGAUUCUAUUUCAUGCAGUGUUGAAAUCCUUAAAGUGUGGCACCCAUUGAUCUUUAGGGAGAACAGCAGGGUUCAUGAGUGAACAGGCAGAUCCAGUGUCAAUGAAAGCAAUGACUCUGGUUGGUUUACCCCAUUUGGAUGAAUAAACCUUGAGUUCUACUUGCGGGAUGACUGUGAUAGCAUUGAUCUCUUCCUAGUCUUUAGCGGCUGGUUCGGAUAUUUGAUAGCGGUCAUCACCAUGAUCUUCGUAUAUAUCAAGAGAGAAUAAUAUUUCUUCAGUGGUUUCAUCCUCCAUAGAGAAUAUUGACUCGAGGUCUUCUUCUUUUUCAAGAUGUAUGCCAGUGUAAUCUUCAAUUUCUUGUAAGAGCUUGACAAAUUUCCUUGAUUGGGGACAAUUUCUUGUGAAAUGUCCAAUCUCGUGGCAAUAAAGCAUCUGUUCUUUUUGUGAAAAUUUUGUGGCCUCCUACGUCUGAAGUAUUUUGUGCGCCUCCUGGACCUUAAUUUUCCGUCUGGAAUUCUUGGCCAUCUAAACCUCCUGAAUCAUCUCCAUCGCCUAGAUGUGUGGCAGGAACAUCCUGAUCUGGUGACUAGAUCAGAUUUGCGACAUGCUUUGUCAAGCGCUUGAUUCUGUUGGAUAAUUUGUUUUAGGGCAGAGCGCUUCGUACAAAUGUCAUCCAAUGCGAUGAAAAUAGCUUGCCUGAUGUAACCAAGUUGUGGGAUUGUUAUGGACUGAAACGUUUCUUCAAUGAUGGUCAUGGUUCGGCUCGCCAACAACUUUGGAAGGGAAGAGACAAAGGCUUGCUUUAGAUUGAUGUCUCCACCGAUCUCGAAGUAUAUCUUCGCCAUUUUUUGAAAAUGCUUGUCAAUGUCAUUUCUAUCGAAUGACACACAUUUCAUCUCAAAGAGUUGUCUUCGCAUAUUUUCUUGUCUUUGGACAGUAUCUCCACAGAAAACUUAAUGUAGGAUUCUGAUAUUGAAGGCAAAGUCUUGGGAAGUAAGAAAAGUAUUUUUGCCUUGAAUUCCAAGUGAGUUCCACCAAUCUCUAAGGAUUCCUGAGAACCGUGAAAUGAGUUCUAACAGGAUGAUAUACUUUUCUCGNNNNNNNNNNNNNNNNNNNNNNNNNCUAAGGUGAAAGUGUGGAAACCAGUUCCAACUAGUUUUGACGCCAUGGGCUCAUAUCCUGUUUCUGGGAUUGGUUCUUCUAUCAUGCCUCCUUGUUCCUCAUCUACUUCAGAUAUUUUUGGGUCUCUUUGCUAGUUGACAAAUAUCGGGGGAUCUUCAUCUUCGGAAGAGUUUGUUGGGGAUUCAUUGCUUGAUUGAGAGUUGUCUUCAAUUAUUUCAUUGUCUGAUGAAUUUACAUAUUCCGACCAUGGGGUAUCUUCUUCUGAUAUAUUUCUUGGAUGGGAGACAUAGAGGUCUAGAGCCUUCUGAUCAGAAAUCAUCAGAUUUUCGAGGUUGGACCCUUUUGAACUUUCACCAUGAUCUCGUCUUUUCUUGGUUUGUUUUUGCGCUGCAAGAACAUCUUUUCUUUCCCAAACCAUUUUGUAAUAUCAAAAUCAUGUUCUUCUUUUAAGGGUUGGGUGAAAGAAACAGGAUUUUGUGAGGUAGUUGGAAAAGUACAAAAGGUAUAGUCCAAUUUUGGUGGGGAAUAAGAUUGUGGCGACAUAGGGAAGAAGGUAGGUUUUGAAGGGAAAAUUGGGGUCUUUUGUGACUCAAAGUGGUCAUUUCUCAGAAGUUGAAUUUGUUCUCUAAUUUAAAUCGUCUUCUUUUGUUAUUAUUGGAAGAAUUGGAAAAAUGAAGUUCCUGGCAGACAAAUCUCAUAUUGUAAAUUUGUCAUCCUUAGUUCCAACGCUUUGAUUAGUCCUGCAUGGUGAGACGAUGUCUACUCCACUUUUUCUCAAUUGUUUCCACCUUGCUCAUCAUUUUGCUUUGUUGGGGGCCACGUUCUUUAUGGUGUUGCUGAUGUUGUUCAGCACUUUGUUUUGGCACAUGGAAUUUUCUGAUUGCCAGUUCAUUGUUGCUUCGAUGUCACUUGUUGGGGGUUUUUCUCCAGUAGGUAGCACUAUGUUUUUCUUGGAAAUUUUGGAGCAUGGCUUAUACCCUCUUUUUCAAAAGGUUGAAGUGAAGGAAAAUCUUGGGUAUAACUAGAGCUUGAAGGACUUAGCAUGAAUAUCUGUGGUUGUGUGGGAUUUGUGGUUUUUUUAGUUUUUUAGGUAUGAGCUUAUGGUGGUUUGGGUUUGGGUGUGGUUUCACUAUCUUCCUAGCUUGGAGUGAAUUUUUCUAAUAAUUUUGGCCAUUCUUGGGGGUUUUAACUAAUAAGAAAUUCAUAUUUACCUCGAUGGGUUAAUAAGCCAAUAGAAGGGUCUUUAUUUUCAUAUUUUGCUCGAAAUUGCUUUUUAGUGGUUUUCCCUUUUUUCUUAGAUUUCGGUUUGGUCUUGUUGAGGCCAAAUCUUUCCCAAUGAUGCAGAUGGUGUUCAUUAUAUUCUCUAAUUGGGUCUUCCAAAUAGUUUGGCAGUCACAACCAAGAUCCCAAGGAUAGUGUCUCGUAAAGGGUCAUUUGAACCACCAAACUCUUUUUCCUUCUUUGUUAAAGUGUUAACACCAGUCAUGUUCUUCCAUGAUGCUUUGUAUAUUCUAGAAGAAUUCUCCGUCAGGUUUAGGGUAUGUAUCUGUUGUAUAUUUUGGUUGAAUUAUUUGGCAAGAGAAGAUGGUUUUAUUGGGUUUUUUGAAAUAGGAAUGGUCAAAGCUUAUGGAAACGGUUUUGUCAUUUCUUUUGGUAAACGUUGCCUCACCAGAUUGUAGAGAUUCUUCCGUGCCCUUAACUUUUCAUAAUUUGUGAUCUAGGAAUCAGGAAGAAUUUUGACAAGCUCAUCUCUAGAGAUUUGUCUAGGUAUUUGGGUACACAUGGUGUUUCUUUUGGUAGCAUCAAUAUUCAAGAGUAAAGCAUUUUCUCCGCCAGGAAGGCAGAGAUCCAUGGCAUGAUUUUGGACCCGCCAUGUCAUUUGGUGAUGAAGAGUGGCUUGGAUAGAAUCUUUGGGUUGUGGAGCUCCUUGGAUAUGGACUUAGAUUUUUAGUGCUUCGAUUAAGUAUGGGUCAUAGAGGGACAUGUUGAAAUUUGGAAAGAUAGUUAUGAAGAUAGUCCCAAAAUUCAAGGUAACUUCUACAGUACCUAAAUUCACAUGUUGGUACUCCAAGUAUCUUGUAUCUGGAAGAGAAAGUUGAGCUACAACAGGUUGACCAUUUCUUCCGUGAUAUGUUAAAGCGAUUCGGAUAGCACCAAAAUGGAUAUGGGUAAAACCAAGAUCUCUCCAUUGUCUGGGAAAAUCAUCUGGGAUUUGAAGGGUGAUAAAUUGUUCCUCUCAAAUGGCAAGAAUAGGAUGCUGGUAAAGUUUUGAGGCAGCAACAUAUUCUUUGACUCCUUUUGGUCUGCGUUGGACUAGGGAACGAAUUUGGGUCCAGGGUGCAAAUGAUUUUUUGGCAAAAGCUGAGUAAGGGUUUAUGAGGGGUAGUUUAGUGGAGGAUACUUUCUAUUCAUCGGGUAGGAUAUCUACUUCAUAGAGGUAAUCAUAUUUUUUGGACAAGGUUUUAUAUAGAGUAGGGGACAUAUUCAAUUUUGCAAGGGAAGAGGAUGAUGGAAAUGACUCAGACAUAUUUAGUAAAUUGUUCCUCCCUCCUAAAGGAUGGGCUAGCUCUGAUACCACAAUAUAAGGAACUGAGCAAGACACUCUAAGAAAGUAAACUAAAUCAUAGAUAUGAAAGAAAAUGGUAAAAGAAAACAUGAUCACUUUUAGAAGAGACGAACUUCUUGUCAAGGGCGCAAGUCACAAAAAGGAUCUUUACAUUACUAUCAAAUGUAGGGACAAAGUGGUAUCUCGAGUGCUGGUCGACGGAGGAUCAGGAGUCAACAUCUGCCUGCUCUCCACCCUACGGGACUUGGAAUUUAUUUGAGGGAGGUCAAGGAAAGCCACAUAAGGCUAAGGGCCUUUGACGGUUCGCAAAAGGAUGUUAUUGGGGAAAUUUAUCUAGCCUUUCAGAUCAGGCACGGUCGACUUUCCAGUAUUAUUUUAAGUGAUGGACAUUUUCUUUACUUAUAAUUUGCUGUUGGACAGGCCCUAGAUACAUAUGGAAGGGGUCAUGUCGUCUACCUUGUACCAAUGCAUAAAAUUAGAUUGGGGAUGCCAAGAGAUCAUGGUCCACGGUGAGUGAGGUCACUCCGCCUAUUUGGAGUAUGUUGCCAUUCAUUGAAGGGCUAGACGGAGUCGCUUUCCAUGCUGUAAAAAUCAUGAAGACUAUAAAAGAGGAGAAGACUGAACAAAAUCCGAAAAUGCAAUCGCUGUAUAGAUCCAAGAUGGUCGUGAGGGAGAUGAUGAAAUAUAGAUAUAGGCCAGGAACAGGGUUGGGAGACAAGUCAGAUGGGGUCAUAGAGCCAAUUGAACACAAUGGGAUGAAAGGAAGGGCUGGCAUAGGAUAUAGCCUUUAGAAGGGAAAACUCGUACCGUUAGCUCUGGGAAAAAGGUUUUUGUGUCAGAGAUUGUUUCAAGCCCGGGACAAAGUUCAACACUCGAUGAUGAUAUCAUCGACGGGAUGGGGAAGCUGUUCGUGAAUAUGAUUGAAGAAUACUGUGAAGGAACUAAAAUCAAGACACCGACUAUCAGGGAUGCCGAACCUAGGGAAGAGUUGCAGAAUUGGACGUCCAGUCCAUCUUUGGUUCAUCGAGAGUCUUGGUAGUAUGGAACUGUAAAAGUUUUCUUUUUAAAUAACACGGUCAAUUAAAGCCUAUACUGUGUCUGUAACUUUUUGUCAUUUGCCUUUUUUGAAUGCUUAAGACAUUCCCCUUUUGAUGAAAUAAAAAGAAUAUUUUUCAUAAAUAUUGCAACUCUUUUUUACUGCUUUAUUUAUACCUAGCUUUUCUUUUUAGUAAGCAAACCAUUAAAACCGCCUUCCAUGAUUAUGACAUGUAACAAAACCGUUGAACGCAAUGAUCAGUAUGAGGAAUAUGACAGAAGUAUGAUGCCAUACAAUCUCCCAUAGGAGAUUGAACAACUGGAGAGUUAGAAGAAGCCCAACAUUGAAGAAACGGAAGUAGUUAAUCUUGAAAGCGAAGAAGACAUGAAAGAAACAAGAAUCAGCAUUCACCUAGAAGUCGAGCAGAAAGAAAAAUGAUUGAGCUCCUCCGACAGUAUGGUGAAGUGUUCGUGUGGUCCUACGAUGACAUGGCAAUAUUAAGCACCGAUAUUAUCUCGAAUUGACUACCCACUGACCCUAACAGACCGUCAAUCAAGCAGAAGUCCAGGAAAUUCAAGCCUGAUUUAAGUCGGAGGAUAAAAGAAGAGGUGACCAAGUGGAUAGAAGCAAAUGUAGUAGUAGUCACCAACUAUCCAAGCUGGUUGGAAAACAUCAUCCCAAUGCCCAAAAAGGAUGGAAAGAUCAGAAGAUGUGUGGAUUAUUGGGAUCUCAACAAAGCUAACCCAAAGGACGAUUUCCCUUGUUGAAUAUCCACAUCCACAUCGACAAUUGUGCCAAGCAUGAACUGCAAUCGUUUGUGGAUUGUUCUGUUGGAUAUCAUAAAAUUCUAAUGCAUGAGAAAGACAUAGAGAAGAUAAUUUUCACCACUCCUUGGGGAGUCUACUAUUAUAGGGUCAUGUCGUUCGGUCUCAAGAAUGACAUCGCCACCUACAUGAGGUCCAUGACGACCCUCUUUCACGACUUGAUUCAUAAGGAGAUUGAAGUGUAUGUGGAUGAUGUCAUCAUAAAAUCUCAAAAGAGUUCAGAGCACUUGGACGAUUUGAGGAAAUUUUUCGAACGCCUGCGAAGGUAUGGCUUGAAGCUGAAUUCGGCAAAGUGCGCAUUUGGAGUCCCUGCUGGAAAACUAUUGGGUUUUAUUGUAAGCAUGAUAGGGGUAGAACAAUACCCACCAAAAAUCAAGGUCAUCCAGGAAUUACCACCACCAAAAAGCAAGAAAGAUGUCAUGAGUUUCUAGGGAAGAUUGAAUUACAUAAGUCACUUCAUAGCCCAGUCCACAUUAAUCUAUGAACCUAUCUUCAAACUGCUAAAGAAGGAGGCUACCACGAAAUGGAUGGAGGAGUGCCAGAAAGUUGUCGACAGAAUCAAAGAGUAUCUUUCAAACCCGCCAGUACCAGUUCCCCUGAAUUAGGGAAAUUAUUGUUGCUCUAUUUGUUAGUCUUGAUCAAUACCCUCGGCUAUGUGAUGGGGCAGCAUCAAGAAACUGGAACAAAGGAGAAGACCAUCUACUACUUAAGCAACUCACACCAUGCGAGGCCAAGUAUACUUUGAUAGAAUGCACUUGUUGUGAUCUGAUCUGGAUUGCUUAGAAGCUAAGGCAUUACAUGUCAGCAUACACCACACAUUUGAUAUAUUGACUCGAUCCACUCAAGUACAUUUUUCAGAAACCAAUGCCUACCGGAAAGCUAUCUGAGUGGAAAAUUCUCCUCGAUGAAUUUGAUAUUGUGUAGAUAAGUCAUAAGGCUAUCAAAGGAUAAGCUUUAGCCGACCACCUCGCUGAGAAUCCAGUGUAUGGGGAUUAAGAACCACUUACCACAUAUUUCCUAGAAGAAGAAGUACUAUUCGCCGGGAAGACAUCGCAGAAUCAUGCCCCGGAUGGAGGUUGUUUUUCAAUGGAGCAGCAAACUUCAAAAGAGUCGGGAUUGGGGCAGUCCUAAUUUUGAAAUCUGGACAAUACUAUCCAGCAUUGAUAAUAUUUCCGUGUACCAAUAAUAUGACUGAAUACGGGGCAUGCAUCCUUAGAAUCAGAAUGGCAGUCGACAUGAACAUCAAAGAACUUUUGGUCAUAGGAGAUUUUGAUUUGCUGAUACACCAGGUCCAAGGAGAACGGUCAACUAAGAAUGUUAAGAUACUGCCAUACCUACAUUGCGUAAAGGAGUUGUCAAGAAAUUCACAAAGAUUGAGUUCAACAUGUCCCCAUGAUUCAGAACGAGUUUGUUGACGCCCUUGCAUGCUUAUCAUCUAUGAUUCAGCAUCCAGACAAGAACUACAUCGACCCAUCGAGAUAGAAAUCAAGGAUCAACAUGAUUGUUGCUUCCAUGUGAAUGAAAAACCAGAUGGGAGACCUUGGUAUCAUGACAUCAAGAAAAUCUUGCAACCCAGGAAUACCCAGAAAAUGCUACAAAUGGUCAACUUAGGUUUGCUGAGAUGUGUAGACGCUGUUGAAGCAACCAUAUUGUUGGAAGAAAUACAUGCAGAGACAUGCGGACCACACAUGAAUAGGUUCACGUUAGCCAAGAAGAUUUUGAGAGCUGGAUACUUUUGGAUGACCAUGGAAAGCGAUAGCAUCCGCUAUGUGCAGAAAUGUCACAAGUGCUAGAUUCAUGGAGAUUUCAUCUAAGUUCCACCAAAUGAGUUAAACGUAAUGGGUUCACCCUAGCCUUUCGCCUCCUGGGGCAUGGAAGUGAUACGACCCAUAGAGCCUACAGCAUCAAAAGGACAUCGUUUCAUUUUGGUAGCCAUCAAUUGUUUCACCAAAUGGGUUGAGGCAUCUACUUACGAGGCCGUUACAAAGAAGGUGGUGGCAGAUUUUGACCGAAACGACAUCGUUUGCAGAUUUGGGAUACCGAAGUCCAUUAUCACUAAAAAUGCUGCUAAUAUUAGUAGAGACCUCAUAAGGGAAACCUGCGAGAAGUUCAGAAUCGUCAUCUGCAAUUUCACAGCUUACAGACCACAAAUGAAUGAGGUAGUCGAGGCAGUUAACAAGAAUAUCAAGAGUAUUCUGCGAAAGAUAGUGGACAAUCACAGACAAUGGCAAGAGAAGUUGACCUUCGCUUUGUUGGGUUAUUGGACUACUAUGAGAACAUCUAGUGAGGCAACGUCGUACAUGUUGGUAUAUGGCACCGAAGCGGUGAUACUCGCAGAAGUUGAAAUAUCAUCCUUAAGAGUCAUUAGAAAAGCAAAAUUGGACUACGUAAAGUGGAUACGGGUCAGGCAAGAACAACUCAUGCUCAUUGACGAGAAAACAAUGAAUGUAGUAUGUCAUGGACAGCUAUACCAGAAUAGGAUGGACAAUGCAUUUAACAAAAGAGUGAAGCCUCGCCAAUUCACAUGUGGCAGUUGGUUCUAAAGAAAAUCUUUCCCUAUCAAGAAGAAGCUAAAGGGAAAUUUGCACCGAACUGGGAAGGUCCUUACGUGGUCCACAAAGCACUAUCUAUUAGAGCUCUAAUCUUGGCAAAAAUGGAUGGAAGAUUCAACACGAAGCUGAUCAACUCGGAUGCAAUCAAGAGAUAUUAUGCUUGAAGAUAGAUAGAGUUAGGAUUUUGAUGUAACAGAACUACGUUCAACUUGGCUUCCCACGGAGAGAUACGUAGGCAACCCACGUAGGGUUUGGUUUCUACCCCUUUAUCUUGUAAUAGAAAAACCAAAUGUCAUUUUUUGUAUGUUGUUCAGGAACUACGCCAACUUGAUUUCCUAAGAAAGGAAUACGUAGGUAAUCCUUAUCGAAUUCAGUUGUCUUUUGUAAUUGAACUGCGUUCUUGCCUUAUUCCGCUUGGAUACGUAGGCUGUCUGAGUUAGACUCGGCCAUUUUCGUUUCUCAAUCUCAUCAAUUUACUUUUAUUGUAGUUGAACUACGUUCUGACCUUAUUCCAUUUUGGAUAUGUAGGCUGCCUGAGUCAGGCUCAGUAGUUUCCUCACAUUUCAUCAUUAUCCCACGAACUACGUCCAGACCUGAUUCUAUUUUGGAUAUGUAGGCAACCUAAAAGAGUUCGGUCAUAGCCUUAGGAAACCUCUGUAAUGCAUUAGCCUUAGUUAGCCAGUAGCCACAUUGUCAAAGACACCAUGGAAGAUCGACAUCGACGGGAUGAAAUUCGCAGAGAGAUGCGUUCGCGUGCGAAGAACCUUUUGUAACAUGUCAUAUCUGGGACAACGGCGUUUUCCUUAGGCACAUUACCUAGUGGAUUUUCUAAAACAAAAGAACAAAAAAAUUCGGGACGACAGCGCUUGCCUUAAAAGAACAAGUAUUUUCAAAAUAUUUUAUAUAUAUAUAUAUAAAGUAAUAUGUUCCAUCUAUCGAACUCCGUGGCGCAGUCAUGUCAAAGGCUGGGGAAAAUCAACACCAUGGUCAACGCAAACCAACCCCCCACCCCCCCCACCCCCCACCCCAACCUAAGAAGUUUUCUUUGAGUGAAAGGUUAAUAGAGAGUAAAUAAUCGCUCGAACCACACUAGGGUAAAUAAAGGAACCGCCACUUGCCUAAGAUUAUCUCUCCUUCCUCUUACUUCAAGCACAGCUAAAAUUAACUCUUGAGUUCUUUAUAGGUGCCUCAGAAUCAGACAGCUGAUAUGUAAAUCUAUAAAUAGCAAAUUGUCUACUCGCCAUAUCGCUUAUCAAAGACCUGUAAAUAACAAACUGUCGGCUCAACCAAUAGGAGCACCUUGUACAAGUCACACAUCGGCUUCACCAAUCGAAGUUUUGUACAUAGAAAAAUAGUCAGCUCAAUCAAUCGGAGCGCCUUGUACAAAUAAAACGUCAGCUUCUCCAAUUGGAGACUCAUAUAUAGCAAACUGCAAACUUCGCCAAUGAAAAGCAAUCCUCAGCACCGCUCCAUCAGUCACGAAUGUUGGAAUAGACAAUUGCGAACCUCAAUACCAAUGUUCUGCUAAUCGAUGGUCGUAACUGAGCUUCGCAGCUAAGAGUAUCUCUUGGCAUGCAAAUAUUUCGUUUUGCUAUUACCUUGAAUGUUUUAACAUUUGUUCAUGCUGCAUUAGGCAUGAUUUUGAUCGCUCCCAAACAGGGGCUACUUUACAUUUCAAUGCAAAGCUCUCCCAAUAAGCAGAGAUGCAUUCUACAAAUCAAGCUCUCCCAGCAAGUGGAGACAUUUCUUAGUGCAAAGCUCUCCUAGCAAGCGGAGACGCACUUUACCAAUCAAUAUCUCUCUAUAAGUGGAGAAAAUUUUCAAAUGCCCCGAAAAUAGUACCCAGCCCGGCUAACAAAUCAAGUCAGGAUCAAGUGUCCCAUCAUCCCAAUCCCAAAUAAUGGCUCGCCGACAGCCAAGCAUUAUCAUUCUUGAAUCAAUUAUAUUGCAUCUUAAUAUAUUCUGCAUUACAAUAGAUUGGUAUCUGUGUAUUUCAUUUUGUUUUGCAGGAAUAAAAACCGCAACGUGGAACUACUUCUUAGCAGCAGAUCGAACUACAUCGCUAUAGGGACAGCCAAGCCAGUAGCAGGCUCAAGAUCCCAGCUCAAAAUUUCGAAUCAUUCAAAUCAGUCGGCAAAAUUCAAGCCAUCAUGAGUGACCAAUCUUCUGUCUCACUGUAUCGUCAUAAUACAAUACUGGGCAAUUCCUGCGAGUGUUGUUUCCCCAAAGUCCCUACUCCAGAACUACAUGAGGCUUAAUCCUCGUUAAGCGCGAGGUAUGUAAGCAAUUUAAAUCCAGAAUUCGGCCCAAUAUUCCCAAACUUUCCAAGAUUCUUCAUCAAUUCAUAAUUUUCAUGUCAUUCUUGCACUGCGUACCUAAAGUCGGGACAAAAUUGGCUUUGGUUCAAUUUCUUUGCCCAAAAAUUCUUUCAUCGUCUAUGGUCAAAGAGGGGCAGCUGUUGACGGUCAAUUUUGACCCUACCUUUUAAAAUCAAUUUGUUCACGCUUAACAAUUUACAACAAAUGAUUUAAAAGUAUUUUUUUUAUUAAUGAAAGUCUGUUUUUUAAAAUUAAUUAAGCAUUAGUUUCAAAAUUAAUCACAUAGUACUAAUAUUGUGUAAUUACGAAUAUAUUUACUAUUAUAAAAUAACUUUUGUCUAUACAUUAUGUAGGUUUUAUAAUUUGACAAAAUUACUCCUUAACUUCCAGUAAAUUAGGUUAUUAUUUUAAUAUUUUGGAAUUAGUGAUUGUAUACCUUGAAAAUGGUAUCUACAAUUAUAUUUGAUUUGCGAUUCUAAAAACAUGUGAUUUAUUUUUAUACUAGUUGUUAGGUAGUAGAUGCUAGUGUAAGUAAAGGAAAUAAGAAAUGCAAACCAAAAAGGUUAUAAUGCUGGGCCUCGAGCUGGCUGCAGCGGGGGCUUGAGGUCUAGAUGGGCUAAUAGAGAUGACUUAUCGAUGGAGGAUCAAUUGUAACGAGGGCCUCAAAGAUGGCCUUUUGCGGUUAAUAAUGAGCAAUAAAUGAAGAACAAUAAAUGAACAAUGAAAGAAUAAGCAAUAAAUGUGAUGAAUCAAUUGUUUAAGCAAAGAGCAAAGAAUGUUCUAUUGUAUUCAAUAUGUCGUGUAAUGAUCUGAAUCCCCUUAAAAGAUGACUAGGGUUCCCUUUAUAUAUGAGGGGAAAUCCCAACAUAGUACAUGUGUAAUAAUGAUGAGUAAAUGCUACUGGUGUAUAAUGACUUAGUACGGAUUUGUACUAUUCUUGCAGACCUAGUCAGCUCUAACCAUGUGUCUUUGGGAGCUUUCCUGCCUUUCCAUAACGGUCAUCAAUUUGUGUUGCUCCAAAUUCGACCUCCGAUGUGCUCCCUCGAGGGAGCAUCUUGGGGGCAUACUCCAAAUUUUCCUUCUAGCUCCUCGAGGACGGGUAUGAAAUUCUACGAUAACCCCGAAGUCGAACUCUUCCAAUUUUGGCUGUAUACAGAUAGUCCUCGCAUUUCUUAAAAUGAAAUGAUAAGGAACAAUCUUUACCUCGACUUUCUCGAACAUCACAUGAUGACGUCAUGCUCGUGACUUAAGCGCUCGAAGUGACUGGAACGUCCCAUCAGUCCGUCUCCCUAGAAGCAUUGAAUAUACCGCCGAUUCGCUUUCCCAAAAGAGGUGAUCGUGUCGUCGAUCCAUUUCCCCAAAAAGCAUUUUUUGCGCCAUUGGUACAUUUUCCAAAGGCAUUUAUUGCCCUAUCGGUUACGCUACUAUCCCUCUUAUAAAUGGGGGAUUGCUUGAGACAAGACUUUACUCGGUGUUUCUUCAACAGCCUUUACCCCUUUCCCUUCUUUACAUCCUCCUCCAAACUCCUAUUUUUAUGGUCCAAACUCAUGGUCAUAAGGUCAUACGGCAAUAACUUUUUCAGUUAUGCCAUGGCUCUUUUUCAAAGCUUUUCCUCACUGAGUGGGGUUAUACUGAGUUGUUGUUGUUGUUGGCUCGAAAUAAUGAGGGACGGGCCUCUAAUUCUUCCCGUAUCAGAAGAUAUGUGGACCGUAAAUCGCUGCUCAUCUCUCUUAACUUCAACCUGGUGUGGCGCCUCAUUCAUUUUGCUUUACAUGGAGUGAGGUGGCAUCAUUUACUAACUUUUGCAUCCCACACUGGUGCAAUGUCUCAAGAAGUGGCUUCACAAUAGUAGUGCUGACGAGACCCAUACUUGCCAAAUUUUCACCAAGCCACAAUUUUCCUUGCUUGUUAAAAGAUUUUGCUAUUUGAUAGGUUAUAGCUCAUCUUUCAUCUAUUGUUGUUUUUGAGGAGAUUCUCGAAGAUGUCGCUCUAAAGAUCGAAAUGGGGUCCGCGAGGAAAUGGUUCUCGCAGAUGUCACUCCCAAGGAUAUACCUUCAAAAGUAGAUUAGGCUUUUUAGAUGUUGUUUUUUGCUUCUUUGUUUCUGUGUAAGGACCCCUCGUGGGCUUUUGUAAUCGUUUUUUAUUAAUACAAAAGUUUCUUCGAUUUGCCUUUGACUUGUGCUGAACUUCCACUUUACCUUUGAUCGGUCUGAAUACUAGACCCGAACAUCGUAAUCCCUUUGGUUCUCAAUUGGUUAAUAUAAUAUUCCUUGAAAUUCUUUCUCAUCCCUCGGACUAAGUCUGGAUUGAUCCGAUACAAACUUAGGUCGCCGGUACUUCUGAGUUCGAGUUAAUUGAGAGCAGGGUCUUGCUUUCCUUUGGAAUAAAGCUUAGACUUUUUAGGCCUUGUUUCUAGUCCUCGAGUGAGAGUUUGCUUGAUCAUCUACAAAUAAAGAUAGCCCUUAGGCCUUUACAAAUAGUCCCCGAGUGAGAGUUUGCUUGAACUUGGAUGGCCUCAAACUGAGCAAAAUUUGGCUUUGAACUUAAAAUGAAGAUAGCCCUAAAGAGUUAUAGAUAGUCCCUGAGAGAGGAUACACUCAAACUCGGGUGGCCCUUGCGCUAAAAUAAUCGAGAGAGCAUUUAAAUUUGAACUUAAAGUGAAGAUAGCCCUGAGGCUUUAUUAAUAGCCCCCGAGCGAGAACUGACUCGAACUCGGGUAGCCUUUUAAUAGUCGAGUGGGCAUUUGCUCGAACUCGAAGUAAAAAUAGCCUUGAGGCUUUAUGAAUAGUCCCCGAGUGAGAACUGGCUCGAGCUCAAGUAGCCCUUGGGCUUAAUAGUCGAGCGAGCGUUUGCACAAACUCGAAAUAAAGAUAGCCCUGAGGCUUUAUGAAAAGUCCCUGAGUGAGAACUUGCUCGAACUCGGGUAGCCCUUGGGCUUGAUAGUCAAGCGAGCGUUUGCACGAACUCGAAAUAAAGAUAGCCCUGAGGCUUUAUGAAAAGUCCCCGAGUGAGAACUGGCUCGAACUCGGGUAGCCCUUGGGCUUAAUAGUCGAGCGAGCGGUUGCUCGAACUCGAAGUAAAGAAAGCCCUGAGGUUGUAAGAAUAGUCCCCGAGUGAGAAAUGGCUCAAACUCGGGUGAUCUGGGGGCUAAAUAAUCGAGUGAGUGUUCGCUCGAACUCAAGAAAAAAAGGUAACCCUGAGGCUUUAUACAUAGUUUCCGAGCGAGAACUUUCUCGAACUCGGGUAGCACGGGGGCUAAAUAAUCGAGUGAAUGACCACUCGAGCCAAAUUCGUAGAUUGUUCCCAAUAGUUUCUGACAAUCCAAUUCCUGAUGCUUUGGUUCUGAUGCCAACAUUAAGACGUAAGCGGUUGAAGUGACUGAAUGGAUGCUUUGGCACGAUUCUCAAAAUCAUUAAUUGUAGGCGGCCAAUGGUCGGCCUUCUGGCUUCCUCCGCACGUUCAAACGAUCUUUAUAAAUAGACCAAACCUCAUAACUUUGUCGGUAUUACUCCCUUAGUGCUUCCAAGAUUUCAUUUAGCCCCUUUCAAUUUCCUUGAACUCUCCCUUUUCUUUUCUAACGAUAAUUUCCAUUUUCUCGGAUCCUUCACUUUAAAAAUGGCAAAGACCUCUAAAACUAUUCCUCAAAAGUAAAAAUCUUCAUCAUCUUCUCGAAUGACUAAAUGUAAAUCGGUAGUUCCUCCUAGUAUCGAGGAGUGUACUCCUGGGCCCUAUGAUACAUCUUCUGAUUUCCGAGUGGAAAACCCUUCUUCUGUUCUGGGGAGAUGCGAGCCCAUGUCUCGAUAUAUUAGUAUAAUAACUGAAAUCAAGAAGGUUAAGGUCGACUGUCGUUGGGGGAAGAUGGUGCAAGUAGAGAUUCCUUCACGAGGGGAAGACAUAACCAAGCACAAGGCCGGUUUCCUCAGUAUAUACACAUAUCCUUUUACCUUAGGCCCGGUAGAAGCCUCUUUACCGUCGAUAGAUCUAGUGAUCCUUGACUUCUGCAGCCAAUAUUAGGUGAUGCUUGGGCAAGUUUAUUCAUCAUUUUGGCGCAUUGUUUAUAUGAUUAGGUAUCUCUCAAACAUGGUCGAGGGGAUGCCUUUUACCCUCGACCAUCUAAUUAGACUAUAUAGCCCUCGGCUUUACCGAGGUGGCUUGCUUAAGCUGAAACGUCGAUCCAUGAAGGCCUUUUUUCCUAGCAUCGAUGAAGACAAGGAUCGGGGAUGGAUGAGCCGCUUUUUCCAAGUUAUGACCUCGGACCUAAUCCCUUCUAAGAGAAUGUCGUUCCUCGAAAAAUGGAACAUAAAUCGUAAGUAAACAUGUUCCACUAAUCGGAUACCUUUUCUUGAUUUUGAACUAACUUUUUUUGAUGAUACAGCUGUCAAGUGGUACCCUGAUGCUGUCGAGGAACUUCUGGGAUGGAUAUGACAACUCGAUUUGGUCUUCCCAUAUGCUAAGUGCGUGUGGUGCGAUCUAGCUAAGGCCCAUUGGGAGGCCAAAAGUCAUGGUGAGUUUUAUCUCUGUUCAUACUUGAGCUCUAUAGAGAUGGUAUCUAUCGCUAGUAUUCUCUUCCUUUGUGCUUAUACAGGUCUUGGAGAGGCUAUUUUGAUGAGGGAACCCCCGCCUGGGGAAGCAGAUAUCCCAAAGCCCGACAAGGAGAAAAAAAGAAAUAAGAAAUCACCGGCCGGGUCCCCAAAGCCAAAAAAAGCUAAAGUUCGAAAGCCCGAGGCUGAUUCAGUGGCCUUAACUCGGGUAGUGGCCGGAGGUCUUUAUGAUGAGGGCGAAGAGAGUGAUGAUUGCCCGUUGGUACUCAGGGAAGAAGAAAUAAUGUUGCCUCGAAAUCUACUAAGCUGAAGGUGACUGAGUCGGAGGCACCGAGGUGGUCCCAUCCCGAGAUGAGGGGAUUUCGGGUGAAGUCCCCUAGCCGACCAAUGACAUAAGCGCAUUUGAUGCCGAGGGGCAUUUGGCUGGUGAACUCUAAGGAACCAAUGAUGAAGCCCCUAGGAGGGGGAUGAGCGCCCCCGUUGAAUCAGUCGAGGUGAUCAAUAUAGAUGAGCCUCUAUCGGGCCCGUCAUUCUCUCCUAGGCAGAUACAGGAUGCCCAAGAUAUGAAAAUUACCAUCGAGGGGGCAUCCCCAAGAGAGAACAGUACGUUUGAAGGAUUUUUUGCAGGGGUUGAGGAAGGCCUCGAUAUCGAUGCCUCGUUGAUCUAUGAAGAAGCCGAGAAGCUUCAACAAUAGGUAAUCUUGAUUUGAUCGUUGUAUCUUGAGUUUCGAUUCUUGCUUUUCUGACUCCCUUCUUUUGUGUUUUCAGGCCUUCAAGCUCUCCAACCAAGCCUUUUCCAAGUCACAAGCGGAGUUGGCUCGUUGUGAGGACAAAUUUAGGAAGCUCGUUUCUGAAUUGGGCAAACUUAAGGCCCUUCAUGCCCAAAAGGAGGGGGAGCUAGGUGACCUUCGAGCUCAUUUGGAGAGGAUAUCUCGAGAGUGGGCCGAUCUCGAUAAGCAGGUAAUACGACCCUUGUGGUCUUAUUUUUGUGCUUUAGUCAAUUGAGUGUUUGAUAUCUUAAUCUAGCUUUUUCAACUUAAGCAAAAAGAUGAUUUAAUGUGAGAGGAGCUUAGAGCCAGCGGUACCAAAAUCCUUGGGCUGAGCAGCGCAUGGAUGAGGUAUCUUCCGAUAGAGAAGCUCUUGGAGAGAAGCUGGCCUCAGUUGAAUGCCAACUCCAAGGGGUGACGGAAGAAAGCUGUAAAUACAAAGACCUCUAUGUUGAGCUAGUCGUUGAGCUAUCUACAACUAUGUCUGAUGUUGCUGAGCUUAUGUCCUCAUACAGAAAAGAUGUUGCUAAUGUAAAUGCUCGAGCCAGGAAAGUAUCCGAAGAGGUCGAGCUUAAACUGUCCCAAGCCUUAGAACAUGCCCGAUUAAGAUCUAGGAGAUAGGCUCUCGAGGAUAUAUAUGUAGGGGGAAUCGAUUUGUCUAUCGAGAUUGAGAGGGUGAAUGCCCUAAAAGAAGAAUCGGCAACUCCACUUUCUCCCGAGGAUGGUUCAACCAGUGGUUCGACCAGUGGCUCUGAUGAUGAUGAAGACAAAGGUGAAAUCCCCUAGGGGGAAGAGGCCGUUGAUGACCCGGGGGUCGAGGGCCAGGACGUUGAAGGCACAACUUCCAAGGGAGCUCCGUCUGGUCAAGUAACCCCAGCGGUAGAUUAGGUUUUCAUUUGUUCCCUUUUUAAGUAAGGUCUCCAGGCGUGAGCCUUGUAGAUAUGACUUUAUGAAACCUUGUCAUAUAUAUAUAUAUAUAUGGAUUUUUGCUUCUCGUCAGUUCUUGUUUUCCCUUUUGCCUUUUUGGAAUAAAUUUUGGCGUUUGUCGAUAACCGGUUCGAUGUAUCGAACUUAUUAUAUAAACCCUUUGGGUUUUCAUUCUCGAUGAGUGAUUGAUGAUAGUUAACCGUUCAGGGCUCAAUCCUCAAGUCAAGUUUUGACUCAGGCUCAUUGACCCUUAGGUUUUCGACAUACUAGCCCUUAAGCUCUUACGUAUUGGCCCUUAGACUCUUUUGGCUGGCCCUUUGGCUCUUACGCACUGGCCCUUAGGCUCUUUGGGCUGGCCAUUAGGCUCUUACGUAUUGGCCCUUGGGCGCUUUUUAGAUUGGGUCGAUGCGACCUCUGAUAUGGCUAUAGUUUUCCCCAUGUUAGCUGAAGUUUUUGAUUAUGCCUUGGCAUGUUUUGUGUUCGUCCGACUCUUCGACGGCUCAAAUAAGAACCUCAAUUAUGAAUCGAUAUGCGACGACAAUCAAGUACCUCAGGAGGUUCUCAUGAAGGCUGAUUUUUCGAAGCCUUUUGUUGAACGCUGAUUGCCUCGAAGCCUUUUGUUGAACGCUGAUUGUCUCAAAGCCUUGUCAUUGUUUGGAGCCGAUAUGAUUGAAGCUCCUUUGUUUAUGCCGGGGUAGCCUGAUUAACUGGUUCUUUUCGAAGUAUUUUUGAAGUAUUUGGAGGCCUUUAGUUCUAUAGCGGCAGUUGGACGUCUCCGAGCCGCAUUAAUUUGGUCAGAGCCUUUUAAUGCAACCGUAGUCGAUUAUCCUUAGGUGAGAUGACCUCGACGUCUAUAUCAAGGGUAUGCCUUUUUAGGGGUCUUACAAGUUUGAUAUAUAGCCUUGGCCUUAAUAUCGGGGUUGUGCCUUUUUAAGGCCUUACAAGUUUUGGCAUGCCUCGUUGAGGUCUUACAGAUUUGGGGUUGCCUCGCUGAGGGCGUACGAGCUCGAAGUUUCCUGAUCAAGGUCUUACGAAUUCGAUUUUUCGAUGGUUCAAUAAGCUUACUAUCGAUGACAGUCCCCGAGUGUUCGCCUUUGGCCCUCGAGCUGUCUUAUGAAAAAAUAGUGGAUUUAUUCGAGGCACAAAGUGUUUUGAUAAGCAGUGGGGGAUUCCUUAAUUACUUGAUAUAUGUGUACAUAUUUUUUGCUUUUGGGGACUCGAUUAUUCUAUAUGGACAUGGUUCAUUUGACCCUUUGGCCCAAUACAACAUUCUCCUAUCGAGGUCCUCCUGGGCAUAGUUUGAGUUCUUUGAAGAAGUGACCUCCUGGGGUGAUGGCCCCCAGUAUUUGAGGUUGAUCAGAGAGAAGCCUUGAACACUUUAUGAGUUCUCCUUAGGUAGCAUAUGGAUGUUGCCUCGUUAAAAACCUCGUCGGUAAAACCCGUUCGGGAUAAAAUCUAGUCUAAGGAAAAAAGAGUGCAACGCAUGCUUUAAAACCCAAGGUCUUCUAGGUCUUCGAGCUGGAGGGUGCUUUGAUUCCUCUCAAUCGGACACCUACAAUAGGUUAGUAUAAAACAUAAAUGAAAAGGGAGAAGGUUGUAACUUACCAUUGAUACCGCUAGAGCUUCGAUUCGUUUUUUAUUGCUUGCUCCGAUGAUGUGGCACGGUCCUUUAUUUACUUAUUCGGGUGGAGCCAAGAACAUAGGUUGUGGUCGCUAUUUGUCUGUUUGCUUGUCUUUUGGUCUCUUCGACAUAGAGGGCAUAGAUGUUGGCGUUGUGUCAUGCACCGCGAACAUCUCUCUUGCUGCAUGUUGUUCCGUGUACAUUGCUUUUACACCAUUCUUGGUUGGAAACUUCAUCAUUUGAUGAAGGGUUGAGGGUACUGCCCGCCCUCAUACUGUGUAUCCACGGCCUUCCAAGUAAGACAUUGUAUCUCAUGUCGCCUUCGAUGACGUGAAACUUGGUAUCUUGGAUUGUUCGGGCUACAUUGACCGGGAGGAUGAUUUCCCCUUUUGUUGUCUCGUUCGCCAUGUUAAAUCCAUUGAGGACUCGAGAGGCGAGUACGAUCUGGUCGAGCAGUCCAAGCUUCUCUACCAUUCUCGACCUGAAUAUGCUAGCUGAGCUACCUAGAUCCACGAGCACACGUUUAAUAUGAAUUUUAUUCAAAAGAAAAAAAAAUUACUAGUGCGUCAUUAUGAGGCUAAGACAAGGUCUCAUUGUCCUCUUUGUUGAACGUGAGGGCAUCCUUUGGUAUGUAACUCCGAGUUCGCCUUUCCCUGGUGAUGGAUAUCUUUGUCCGCUUGAAAAUGGGUUCUUGUGGGACGUCAACCCCUCCAACGAUCAUGUGGAUGACAUGCUAUGGUUCUUUUGGUUUGUUUUCCUGUUUGCAUCUCUUUCUCGGAAAUGGUUCUUAGCCCAGUCACUGAGAAACUCACGAAGAUGUCCUUCGUUGAACAAACGGGCUACCUCCUCUCUAAGCUUCCUGCAAUCCUCGGUCCUAUGACCGUGAGUGCCGUGAUACUUACAUAUCAAGUUUGGGUUCCUCUGUGAAGGGUCCGAUAAUACGGGUUUUGUCCACCUAGCAUCUUUGAUUUUCCUUAUGGCUAAAACGAUGCCAGAGACAUCAACGUUGAAGUUUUACUCAGAUAGUCGGGGUGCCUCUACCGGCCCGGUGUACCAAUCGAACCCGACUUUACCCAUGAGCCCUCGGGAAUUUUGACCUUGAUCUACCCUUCGAUCGCCUCGAGGCAUGUUAUGCCUUGGUGCGUUUCUUCGAUCAUGUACCUAUGGCUGGUAUCUUUUUUUGUUUGAUCUUGGCUCCCUUUCUGUAAACCUUUGCUCCUUUGCAAAGAUCCUGUUGUGAUAUACUGAUCCCGGGGGGGGCUCCUAGUUAGUCGUCUUCGACCCUGAUCUUUGAUUGGUACCUGUUGUGCACAUCCGCCCAGGUCAUGGCGGGAUAUUCGAUUUUAAUUGCUUUGAAGAUACCGAGCUUUGUUCGUUCAAGCCUUGAGUGAAGGCCUAUACUGCCUAGUCAUUAGAGAUUGGUGGUAAUUCCAUUCGCUCAAUCUGAAAGCGAGAUAUGAAUUCCCUUAGCAUCUCGUUCUCUCUCUGUUUGAUUUUGAAGACAUCGGACUUCCUGGUGGCAACCUUAAUGGCACCAGCAUGUGCCCUCACAAAAGAAUCCGCCAACAUGGCAAAUGAGUCUAUUGAAUUUGGGGGCAGGUUAUGAUACCACAUCAUAGCCCCCUUCGACAGUGUUUCUCCAAAUUUCUUCAACAAGACGGACUCAAUUUCGCCGUCCUUCAAGUCGUUCCCUUUUACGGCACAAGUAUAAGCGGUAAUAUGCUUAUUAGGGUACGUGGUCCCAUUAUACUUCAGGACAUUGGGCAUUCUGAACUUUUUCGAGAUGGGCUUCAGAGAUGCACUUGAUGGGAAUGGCCUCUGCACGAACUUCUUUGAAUCUAUACCCUUUAUAAUGGGGGUGCCUCGGGGAUCUGAUCGACCCUCGAGUUAUAUGUCUCCACCCUUUUGUCAUUAUCUUCUAUCUUCUUUUCUCAUUAUUCAAUUCUUUUGGUGAGGUCCUCGAGCAUCUUCAUAAUAGUAGGGUCUCUUGCUGACCCGUUGUUGCUUGAUCUCUCCAGUACUUGCUCGACUCGAUGAGCCGUCUCCGGUGCUACUGUGCUUGGGGUUUUUUGUUGACUUUGCAGCUGAUCAAUAGCCACUUGUUGUGCUUGCAACAUUUAAAAAUGACUUGGAGUCUGACUCCUCCUUUUCCACUCCUCGUACUUCUUGGCCUCUAGCCUGGUCUUCCCUGCGUCCGUUCCUUAUGGGGUCUGUGCCUACUUUCGUGUUUAGAACGUUGUGGGAACUGAUAUCAGCUUGCUCAAUGUUUGGUACUCCUUCGGGGUUUACAAGUGGUACACCCAGCCCUAUGUCUCUAUUUUCCCCAAGUUCUUCACUGUUGUGAAGAGGUGCAUUUUGUGUGCUAGACAUGAUUAAGCCUGAAAUCAAAGAAUCUUUGUCAAGAAAAAGCGUAAAGAGUAACGUGUGUUAUUAGAAAACAAGCAUCAAAACAAUCACUAUUAUUUUUAGCCCCACGGUGGGCGCCAAAUUGUUUACCUUAAAAAUGUAACUACAAUUAUAUUUGAUUUGUGGUUCUAAAAAUAGAUUUAUUUUUAUACUAGUUUUUAGGCAGUAGAUGCUAAGCGUAAGUAAAGGAAAUAAGAAAUGCAAACCAAAAGGUUUAUAAUGUUGGGCCUUUAGCUGGCUGGAGCGGGGCCUCGAGGUCUAGACGGGCUAAUAGCGAUGAGCGAUCGAUGGAGGAUCAACGAUAAUGAUGGCCUCAAAGACGGCCUUUUGCGGUUAAUAAUGAUCAAUAAAUGAAGAACAAUAAAUGAACAAUGAAAGAAUAUGCAAUAAAUAUGAAGAAUCAAUUGUUUAAGCAAAGAGCAAAGAAUGUUGUAUUGUAUUCAAUAUGUCGUGUAAUGAUCUGAAUCCCCUUACAAGAUGACAAGGGUUCCCUUUAUAUAUGAGGAGGAAUCCCAACAUAGUACAUGUAUAAUAAUGACGAGGAAAUGCUACUGGUACAGUUGUAUAAUGACUUAGUACGGAUUUGUACUAUUCUUGCAGACCUGGUCAGCUCUAACCACGUGUCUUUGGGAGUUUUCCCGCCUUUUCAUGACGGUCAUUGAUUUGUGCUGCUCCGAAAUUGACCUCCGAUGUGCUACCUCGAGGGAAGCACCUCGGGGGCAUACUCCAAAUUCUCCUUCGAGCUCCUCGAGGACGGGCAUGAAAUGCUACGAUAACCCCGAAGUCGAACUCUUUCGAUUUUGGCCGUAUACAGUGAUAUAAUUUAAAUAAGUGUCAUUUAUAGAUAAUUAACUCAAAUAAUUAGAAACAUAUAGUAAUUAUAAUUUUAUUACAUUUUUAAAAUUGCUAAGUUUAUUUAAAUUGAUUUUGAAAGGGGGUUUAAAACUAAAAGGCUACAAUUGCAAUAACUAAGUAUAAAAUAGCUAUUUAUUAAAUUACUUUAGCCCAAAUGUACAGCCCAAUCCAGAAAACAACCCGGUCCAAACACCCCAUCCCUUCCAACUUGGCAAUCCUUGCUAUUACCUCUCAACCAAUCACGACCUAACACGUCACCCGUUGAUCCCACUCAAAAAACAAACACAAGCGAUCAGAACCGUUGAUUCAAAUCAUCAAUGGUCAUGAAUUAUCCCUAUUUUCCAUUUAAUCUCGACCCACUAUCAAAAAUUAUCUCAGCUGUUGGAUCACAUAGAUCCAAUGGUCCUCAUACUUUCCUAAAAUUAUUUUUCUUAAAUAAAUAAUGCCCCGAUUUAUCAAGGUCUUUGAUCAAAUGAUCCAAUAGCCCAGAUCUCUUCUCCUCGUUUUAACUCAGUGACCAACUAGUCUCACUCCCCAAACCCUAAUCCAUUUGCAGAUUUGGGAUACCUGAGUCCAUCAUCACUAACAAUGCCGCUAAUAUUAAUAGAGACCUCAUAAGGGAAAUAUGUGAUAAGUUCAGAAUUGUCCUCCGCAAUUUCACAGCUUACAGACCACAAAUGAAUAGGGUAGUCGAGGCAGUUAACAAGAAUAUCAAGAGUAUUCUGCGAAAGAUAGUGGACAAUCACAAACAAUGGCAAAAGAAGUUGACCUUCGCUUUGUUGGGUUAUCGGACUACUAUGAGAACAUCUAGUGAGGCAACGCCGUACAUGUUAGUAUAUGGCACCAAAGCAGUGAUACUCGCAGAAGUCGAAAUACCGUCCUUAAGAGUCAUUAAAAAAGCAAAAUUGGACGACGUAGAGUGGAUACGGGUUAGGCAAGAACAACUCAUGUUCAUUGACGAGAAAAAAAUGGAUGUAGUAUGCCAUGGACAGCUAUACCAGAAUAGGAUGGACAAUGCAUUUAACAAAAGAGUGAAGCCUCGCCAAUUCACACGGGGCAGUUGGUUUUCGAAGAAACUCUUUCCCUAUCAAGAAGAAGCUAAAGGGAAGUUUGCACCGAACUGGAAAGGUCCUUACGUGGUCCACAGAGCACUAUCCGUUGGAGCUCUAAUCUUGGCAGAAAUGGAUGGAAGAUUCAGCACGAAGCCGAUCAACUCAAAAGCAAUCAAAAGAUAUUAUGCUUGAAGAUAGAUAGAGUUAGGAUUUUGGUGUAACAGAGUCCAGGGGUAGCAACAAGCGCCUUGGGUGCCUGUCCCCCUACUAGAGCUACUUGUGGCUCCUCAAUCGCUACUCGGUUAGGUACGCUAGCUGUAGCACGUGCUCCUCCUCGGCCUCUACCUCGCCCCGGCCUCUCGCAGCUCUAGAAGGGGGCAGCAGGUGUCUGCUCAGCUGAUCCAGCGAUGCGCAUCCUCACCAUUUGUGAGAGAAUAGAAAGACAAAGGCUCAGAUUUCGAAAUCAACAAAUCCGCACGAUAAGGAAUCAAAGAAGUGGAAUUUCUUAAUAGCUUUAUAGUCGUGAAGGCACCUAGACUCUAAGGCUAAGUAAGCCUAACACACAUUGAGAAUUUAGCAGAAGUAACGACUAAGAUAGUAAAUUAAGCUGAUAACUAUCAUAAUAAAACCAAAAUGGAACAAAAGUCAUCCCCAAAAUCGGUGGUACGAAGUCAUAAGUUCUAAUAAAGUACACUAGGAAUCUCUACAUACAAUAUGUUUUGAUAUGAAGAUAAACAGUAGUAAAGACAAUAUCAGAAGGUGACUCUAUGGCCUGUGAGCAUCAAGCAGGUAUACCUUGAAGUCUCUAAAAUGAAUAAGUCAACUCACUGGCGUCCGGCACUAGCAGAAGUACCUGGAUCUGCACAAAAAUGUGCAGACGCAUAGCAUGAGUACACCACAAUGGUACCUAGUAAGUAUCAAGCCUAACCUUGGUGGAGUAGUGAUGAGAUCAGGUCAAGAUACCUACUAGACAUAGAAACCUAAACAACAUAUUAAUAUAAUCUAAUAAUAGGAAGUAAAAGCAAUAAAUAACAAUAAAGUAGAUUAUCAAUAUAAGGUUAAUAACGGGUGUAAAAGAGAUAACAACAUCAAAGAGUGAACAUAUGGUAAAAACAACAAAUGAUCAAAUAUGGUCAAAAUACAAGUGAAAUGAUUUAAGGAAAAACAAUAAUCAUUCAAAUCAACAUGUCGUUCCAACAUAAAAUGUACAACAAGAAUCACAUCGAGGUACCACACCUUAUAUGCACAUUCACAAGUCAUAAUCACAAUCUUCCUUAUAUCACCGCGUGAGCCUUGCAUUUAUUUUAAAAAUAUUUUUUUCAAAAUAGCUUCACGGGCUUUAGCCCCCUUAUCUCACUGUGUGGCUAUAAGUAAUUUCCCUUACUAGCAGCACGCGCAUAAAUCCCACCUUAUCUCGCUGCAUGAGCACCAAUAUCACCACUUUUAUACUGUCGCAUGCACAUCACAUCACAACACAAUAACCAACUCGCACCACGCGUGCUCAUAUGCCAUAAUAUUUCCAAGACAACAAUAUCAAUAUCACCAUAACACAUAGCACACGGCUCAACCACAAUGUGUACAAGAAUCUCAAUAAUAACAAAAUGAACGGAAAAUAACUCAACAAUGGAAGACACUCCAUAAAAUAACAAUUCAAUUAAAACAUGUUACUAGCUCUCAAUAACUACAACUUCGAUAAACUCCAAUGGAAGAUAUCUCCAUGAAAUGGCAACUUCAAUUCUAAUGCAUAAUAUAAACCCAACAAUAAAAGAGAUAGCAUGUAAUAGAACCUAUGACUAAAUGCAUAUAAGAGUAACUUCAUUAAUGAAAAUAGAACAUGUAAUAACAACUUCAAUUAAGCCAUAUAAGAAUGAACUCAACAAUGAUAGAUGUAACAAGUAAUAACAACUUAAUUAAAUGCAUAAACGUAACCUAAGAGUAUAAAUCGAUCAAUUUCAUAUAUAAGGUUAUGUACACACUCCGCACCUCCAGUACACGUCUUUCACGUAAUUCAAAUAGUGCAAUUUAACCAAAUCCUAUGGGGUAGCUACCCCACACAAAGUUAAGCAAGAUAUUUACCUCAACUAGGCCAAAUCAACAAUCAAAAAUGGCUUUUCCCUUAAAAUUCUCCUCCGCACGGCUCAAAUCUAACCAAAAACGACUAAAUACAAUCAAAAAAUUCAAGAGAAACCAAUUUCGAUUAAUAAAGCUAAGAUCUUUACACAAUUCCUAAAAGUCAACAAAGAUCAACCCCAUGUCCGCCUGGUCAAAACUCGAGUCCACGGGUAGAUCUCAACUACCCAUAAUCCCCACGAGUCCAUAUAUGUGUUUUGUUUUCAAAUUCGAGUCCAAUUCAACUCUCAAAUCUCAAAUUUUUAUUUUUCAAAACAUAGAAAAAAUUCCCCAAAAUUUCUCUUCAAAUCUCGUAGAUUAAAGGUUAAAAAUCAUAAAUAAUCAUGUAAUAUAAUUGAAAAUUGAUUAAAAACACUUACCCAAGAGACAAAGUCAUGUUUUUCCAGCCCUUAGGUCGAGAUUCCGGAGCCGCAAUUGUGACCCUGGGUUCACAAUUGCAAACCCUCGCAAAUGCGAACAAUGACUCACAAAUGUGGCGCCUGAUAGCCCAGGGAAAUGUCGCAUUUGUGAAAUUUGUCCCUUCCCAAAUGCGACCUACCCAGCCUAAGCCCAAACUUUGCAAUUAUGAGUAAGGCAUCACAAAUGCGAUACUUGAUCCCUCCCUGAAUACUUUGCAAUUGCGAUGCUAGUGCUCGCAAAUACGAUAACUGGAGCACCAGCAUACCAGCAACCUAAAAAUGAGUUCAAACCAAUCUGAAAUAUGUUCGAAACUCACUUGAUCCCUCAGGGCUCCAUACCAAAUAUCCAUAAAAGUCUAAAGACAUCAUACGAACUCAUUCGCAUGUUUAAAACACCAAAAUAAUAUCUGGAACCAUGAAUCGGACAUCAAAAUGUAUGAAAUUCAAAAGGAAACUCAAGAAUCACUAGAAUCACAACCAAGCGUCUGAAUCCCAUCAGUCCACCUCGGAAUGACAUCAAAUUUUGCAGACAAGUUUCAAAUACAAAAAUGAACCUAUUCCAAAUCCUAAAACCAAAAUACGAAUCUGAUAGCCAUAAAUUCAACCUAUGGUUAAACCUAAGGAAUUUUUAAACCUCAAAUUGCCAACUCUCGGCAAAACAAGUCAAAUCAACCUAGGAACCUCUGAAUUCAAUUUCGGGCAUACGCCCAAGUCCAAAAUCAUGAUACAAACCUAUCAGAGCCAUCAAAAUACCAUUUUGGGGUCGUUUUCAUAAAAGUCAAACCUAGGUCAACAUUUCCAACUUAAACUUCUAAACCAAGAACCAAAGGGUCCAAAUCAUUCCAAAACUUUCCCAAAACGAAACCAACCAUCCCCACAAGCCAUAAAACAAUAAAUCACAUAUGGGGAGCUUCGUAAGAGGAAAUGGGGCUCAAAUACACAAAAUGAUCGGUCGGGUCGUUACAUUGACCGAGUCUCUUGCUUUGGAAUUGUGAAAUAUUUGAUGAACCAUAGUUCUGUGUCUUCUCGACUCGCAGGUAUUUCGCGAGUGAGAGAAUUUCUAUAUUCUUAUGAUUAGCGGGUUGUUUCCCUCGAUAGGAUUACAAACUAUUCCUAUGGGAUUGGGUCGUUUGCCUCGGUAAAUUGCUCUUAUGGGAUCGGGUCGUUCGCCUCGGCAGUAUGUUGAGUUACUCUUAUGGGAUUGGGUUAUUCGCUUUGGCAGUAUUAUGUAAUACUAUUCUUAUGGGAUCAGGAUGUUCGCCUCGGCAGAAUCAUACGUAGUACUUGAGAUUUAAUUUGGUAGUGGUAUCAAUUGAUCUUGUGCCUUCGAGGCAGGUUAUGGCAUUUUAGUAAUUUCAUAAUAAUUCAUAUUUGGGAAUUUAUUAUUAAUGUUUAUCUGUAUCGUUGCUGCUUAUUAUGUUUCAUACUUUCCUACUUUAUGUACUUUAUUAUCUAACUACUAGUACGUGUCGAAGUCGACCCCCCGUCACUACUUCUUCGAGGUUAGACCAGAUACUUACUAGGUACGCAUUAAUUUACGUACUCAUAUUACACUUGUGCACUAAUUGUAUAGGUAUUGAGACAGGUACUUCAGGUGGUCAUAGAGGCGCGUAGAUGCACUUUACGAAGACUUAGUGGUGAGCUGCCCUACAUGCUUCGAUCUACGGCACCUAAAUUCUCCCUCUUAUCAUAUUUAUUGUUUCUGUCUAUUUUAUAUCAGACGGUAGUUGUAGUAGUUUUGUAUGUUCUAUUAGAUUACUCAUGUACUUGUGACACUAGAUUUUUGGGGUUUCUAGUAGAUAUUCACAGUUAUACCUAAUAUUAUUAACAUUUCAUUUUAUGUAUUAUUCAUACUCGGUAUUUUGGUAAAGAAGAACGUAUGUUUCCAUGAGUACUAGAUUUAAUUCUAUUUAGCUAAUGAAAUUUCUAAUUUAAAAAGUUAAAAAAGAUAAUUAGGUUGGAGGUACAUGCGUUGGCUUGCCUGACAUAUCAUUGAGCGUCAUCACAGCCUAUUAUGGGGUUUGGGUCAUGAAAUUAUAACAACAACAACAAGCCUAGUAAUUUUCCACAAAUGGAGUCUGGGGAGAGUAAGAUGUGUGCAGCCUUACCCCUACCCUGGAAGGGCAGAGAGGUUGUUUCCGAUAGACUCGGCUGGAGAACGCAUGAAAGAAGAGAAGAGAAAAAGGUGGAAACAAGUAGGAAUAACAACAAGAUUAAAAAAUAUCGAAGUCAAGAAAGAAGUUAAACUCUAGUUAGUACAAGCCAAAUAGAAGGAUAUCAUACUAACACUAAUGCUAGCGAACUGAGUAAAACAAAGAGAAAUGCUCGACUACCUACUAGUCUUGGCUCCAUCACGCGUGUCCUUAAUCACUCUAAUAUAGGCUAGUGGGACCCUAUAGCCUCCAAACAUCUCCAAAGAACCUCUCUCGGGACUUUGUCAUAAGCUUUUUCUAGGUUAAUGAACACCAUAUGGAAAUCCUUUUUCAUCUCCCUAUACCACUCCACCAAUCUCCUCACAAGGUGAAUGGCUUCCAUAGUCGAACUCCCCGACAUAAAAUUGAACUGGUUCUCAGAAAUGGACAUACUGCUCCUCACCCUGGCUUCAACCACCCUCUCCAAAACUUUCAUCGUAUGACUCAGCAGAUUGAUCCCCAUAUAAUUAUUGAAACUUUGGAUAUCACCCUUGUUCUUAUACAGGGGAAUCAUCGUACUCUGCCUCCAUUCUUCGGGCAUCUUCUUUGUCUUAAAAAUAACGUUGAACGGCCUAGUGAGCCACUCCAAACCUGCCCUACCCGUAUUCUUUCAAAAUUCCAUAGGUAUUUUGUCUGGCCCGGUUGCUCUACCCAUGUGCAUCUUGCGCAUAACCACCCCCUCCUCAUCUACUCUUAUGUGCCUACAAUACUCGAAAUAUUGGCGAAUCUCGAAGUGCUCCAAAUCUCCUAUCACAAUGUUUCUAUCACCCUCUCCAUUCAGGAGUUUAUGGAAGUAUGUCUGCCACCUUCGCCUAAUCUGAGCCUCUUACAUCAAAACUCUACCUUCCUCAUCUUUGAUGCACUUUACUUGAUCCAGAUAACGGGCCUUCCUCUCCCUCACCUUGGGUAUCUUUUUGUCCCCGCCUUUGGCCCCAAGCUCUUCAUACAAAUGCCCAUACGCUGCAGUCUUUGCCGCAAUAACCGCUAACUUUGCCUCCUUCUUAGCCCUUCUAUACCCCUCCUUGUUCAUCCUCUUCGCCUUCUCGUCCAUGCUCUCUAUAAGCUUCAAGUAUGUCGCUUUCUUGGCCUCCACUUUCUCUUGUACCCCUUCACUCCACCACCAGAUACCUUUGUGGCCACUAGAGAAACCCUUCAAGACCCUUUCUCUCGUAACUACUCUAAUACACUCUGUUGUCGUGGUCCACAUACAGCUCGCAUCCUCACUGCUCUUCCAGGCUCCCAUAGCCAGAAACUCCCCCCCCCCCCCCUCCCUCCACAAACUCCAAGGCUUUGUCAUUAGUCAAGGCACCCAACAUGAUCCUAGGCUGACCAUACCCAGACCACUUCUUCUUCUUUCUCACGAUCUCCAAGUCCAUCACCAAUAACCUAUGUUGAGUCGUGAGGUUCUUGCUCAGUAUAACCUUGCAAUCCAUGCAAUGACCCCUAUCACCCUUCCGGAGGAGUAGAUAAUCAAUUUAAGUCUUGGCCAAUGAAUUCUUGAAGAUGACCAAGUGCUCUUCCCUCUUCGGAAAGCACGAUUUAACAAUCACCAAAUCAAAGGCUUUAGCACAGUCCAACAGCGAAGUACCACCUCCGUUCCUAACUCCAAAACCAAAGCCCAUGCACAUCGUCAUAACCCCUAGAGGUCGCCCCACUGUGACCAUUGAAAUCUCCUCCUAUGAAUAAUUUCUCAGCGUGCAGAAUGCCACGGAUCAACCAGUGAAGGUCUUCCCAGAAACGCCUCUUAAUCUCUUAGUCAAAACCCCCUUAAGGCACAUAAGCACUAAUCACGUUUAAAGUAGAUCUUCCCACAACCAGCGUAAUAGCCAUCAACCUGUCAUUCACCCUCUUAACUUCUACCACUAGCUCCCUAAGAUCCAUGUCAACCAAGAUGUCUACCCCAUUCUUAUCCCUCACGCGGCCUGAGUACCACAAUUUAUAUCCAUCAGCCUCUGGAGCCUUAGAACCCAUAUGAUUUAGGUGGAAACGAGACUUUAUUUAUUCUUCGGUCAUUUUGGAGGAUUAAAAAUUUUAACAAAAACUGCACAUACUUCUAUUUUCUUUUUCUUUUGGCUUAAUAGACUUUUAGGUUACGUUGUAAGUCAAUCAUAAGUAGUUUGAAUUGUGACGAGCACAACAAUUUUUUUAAAAGGUCUUUGACUUUCAAAUUAGGAGAUGACUCCAAUGGAUAAACAAUGUCAUAAAGUCAUUACUACGAUCCCAUAAUUGAUAAAUGAUUGAAUUUCAUGCUAAUGUCCAGAUCAUAUUCAUAUUCCUUGCUUAUAUCUGAAAAUUAAACCUCUACAACUCUCAUUAUUAGAUUACAUGUUGAAGCUGAAUAAGCAACCAAUUUUAAUGAACAAAAUAGAAAUACAUUAAAAGGCAUUGUUUAUUAGAGGACAAGCAAUAUGUUAUAGACAUCAACAAAAGGAAACUGUCUGCAGCCAUGAAUUGGUAUAAUUCACUUGUCUUCUAAGUCUUUUUAGCAUCACCUCCCCACGUCUACGUAACAAUUAUCAACCAAAACUUUUUUUCAUUCAAUUCUUCUCAUAAUGUUAAUAGGAAAGAAGGGAAAGUUAAGUCAUUGAGAUUCAAACUUGUGGCAUUAUGAUUCGAAUUGUGAAAAGUUACUGAGAUUCAAAGUUGUGAUACUAUAGUUCGAAUUGUGCCAUCUUAACCGUUAAACAAUUCCCUUGAUGGCAAAUGUAAUUAGUACUAUAUAUAUAUAUAAAAGAACAAAUUUUGAAUUUUUUUUCUUUUAAUGAUUUUACAUGUAUUUAAUAUAGAAUUCGUUUACGAUUUGAGGUUGUGUGAUUGGAAAGGAAAAAUUGGAAUGAGGACGUCACUACAAGACUUUAACUUGACACAAGAAGACUUGUUGUAGUCCAAUCUUGCAAGCCACAAGACCAGCUCAUUUGCCUGUUUUCCACAUUAUUAUACGACAAUUCAGAUGCUAAUUACUACUUAUCAUGUCUAAGUUCUGCACUAACAAUCACAGAAAUAACCAAAAAAAGUAUCAAGUUAAUUAUUUAAUGACAAACUGGGUAAAUACAUACAUUAAUGAUAAAUCUCUCCUUGACUUUGAAUCAUUAGACGUGUUUUGAUCGGCAUGGCCUAAAUAUACACUUGUUAUUGCCAAAUUCUUGGAAGUAUAAGUUACUUAAUUUAACUCUGCACCGCUAAUAAAUGAAGGUGGAAAAUCUUCAACUUUUAUAAGUGGAAUAUAUAAACCUAUCACGUAACUUUUCGUGGAGUAUAUAGUGUUUAAAAUAUUUAUUUUUGGAAAAUAAUCACUAGGUUCAAGUCGCAAAAGUCAAAACAGCCUCUCAAAAAAAUACAAAAUAAAAACUUAUAUAGUAGAUGCGUAGCAAAAGUUUAGUGCACAGAAAUAUUUUUUUUUAAACGUAAUAAGUACUUUAAAACAAGUAGAAUACAUUAAGUCAUAUAUAUAUAUAUAUAUAAUAUAUAUAUAUAUAUAUAUAUAUAUAUAUAUAUAUAUAUAUAAAAGCAAAGGAAGAAUGAUCUAUUAGAUCAUCAAAUGAAAUCCUAAAUAAUUUAAAUUUUAUGUGACUGUAGCUUGUUCCCCAAGAAAUGACACUUCCCACAUCAUGGGCUCAAGCUAGUUUAGAAUAGUCAUAAAUAACUUACUACUUAUAAAGUUUGCUUUUACAAGAAGAAACUUCUGACAAGGAAAAAUCAGGUAAAAAAUGUGUGAGAAUUCGUUAGAUAAAGGAGAAACAACUUUAUCCAAAAUUAGGGGGGAAAGUGGCUUUCAUAUUUUACUUUAGAGCUGCUAUUUUUGCCUAGUCCAGUCUUAUAUUAUUUGUAACCAUGACUCUGAUUAUAGUAACCCUCACCUUAUAUAUUGAUUUUUAUCAGAUUAUAAAUUAAUACUUAUCAAGAGAUUCACCUAUAAUAAUUGACUUAAUUGUAUAAAUACUUUAAUUAUCAAGUGGUUAUUUUUUUGGUCGGCUCAUCGAAAUUAGUGAAGUCAAGAAUUCACUAAGCACGUAGGAGUAUAAGAUUUUACUACGCAUGUAUAUAUAGAGUAUUUGACCAAUAUAUUAGUCUAAUGUUAGUAUUUUAUUUUGCUUAGGCCGUUAAUCCAAACUAGUAAGAAUACAUGUUGCUGUUGGCAAACUUAAAAGCAGAGCAGCGAAACAAACAAACAAAGCAGAAACUUAAAAACUAACUUCCUUGAAAAAAUAGCGGAAAGAGACGCAACUUAACGUUUGUCUUUCCUCCUCAUUUCCACAACUUAAACGUGUACUCUAAGCUCAUUUUCCUCUCUCUAUAUAUAUAUAUACUAUUUUUAUCAACACAACAUUCUCUCCUUCAAACCUUAAUCAACUCCUUCAUGUCAUAAAAGCCUAAGUGCUACUUUCUUGAGUUUUUUCCCUAAUCAAUCUUCCAUUGUAUAGCUAUCUUUCUUGGUCCAAAAAAAGAGAAAAAUGGAUCGUAGAUCAUCGAUAGAGAGCGAAGGAAGUGUUCAUCUAGAGAUAAAUGAACUUAAUGGAAGACUAAGUGUGGUAGAAAGUGGAGGUCCAACAAUCUUUGAACCUCAAAGUCCAAUGGAAACAAAGAACAGCAGCACAGCUAAUUCUGUUUCUCCGAAAAGGCCAACGAUUCGUGCACCGGAGAAAAAGAUUACCCUUUUUGCUCUGAGGCUAGCAGUGCUUGAAAAAGCAGCAACUGGAUUAGGAACACUUGGUUUCAUAUGGGCAACAGUUGUUCUUCUUGGUGGCUUUGCUAUCACUUUGAACACUUCAGAUUUUUGGGUCAUAACUACUAUACUUUUAAUAGAAGGAACAAGAAUCUUUAGUAGGAGUCAUGAGCUUGAGUGGCAACACCAAGCAACAUGGUCUAUUGCUGAUGUUGGAAUCAGUAGCUUUCGCGCGAUCAAAUCCAGCACUAGAACCAUUGUCAAUGCUCUAAAAACAAUUUUCAAGCCUAUUUCUGAUGUUGCAAAGGGAAGUAGGCAUGUUAACAAUAGAGAAAUUGCAAGGAAUUCAAAGUGGAAUAAGCAGAAGCAGCCAACUCGAACGUGGACUAGUUCUGAGGUUCCUCUGCUUCCAUACGCGAGAUGGAUGUUCGUAGCAAGAAAUGUUAGCAAAAUGCUGUAUUGGCUCCAAAUACUAUCUGCAACAGCAUGUUUGGUGCUAUCAUUGAUGAAGCUUGUAUUGAGGAACUUUGGUGAAGUGGCCAAAGGAGAUACCGAUAAGAGGAAUAGGAAAAGUGCUCUACUUAUAUUCUAUUCCCUCGCCUUCACGGAGGCAUUGCUUUUUCUAUUGGAAAAAGCCUAUUGGGAAUGGAAGAUCAGCUUUUGUAGUCUGUUGGAGAAGGUGAACAAAGAGUGUGAAUUGGGACCAUCAGGUAUGACUUCAGUCAGACGGUUUUUUUAUGAUGCUUAUUCGAAAAGUGUUAAUGGGAGCAUAUUUGAUGGUCUAAAGAUGGAUAUGGUUUCAUUUGCUAUUGAACUCUUAGCCUCUAACUCACCUGAUGAGCAACUCAUUGGUGCUAAAAUCUUGCGAAAAUUUGCUGCGAGUCCACGGUUUUGUGAUGACACACUUCAGAAGAUUGGAACAAACAUAGUAGUAAUGGAGAGGUUGGUUGAGAUGCUGAAUUGGAAAGACAUACAAGAAGAAGAGUUAAGGCUAUCAGCAGCAGAGAUUAUAUCAAAGCUUACUGGUAAAAAGCAAAAUUCUCUUCGUGUCGCGGGUAUACCUGGUGCUAUGGAGUCCAUAUCUUCACUUCUUCAAAUCAGCAGGGGUCCUACUGGAGCAAAUGAUGAAAUCUGUGAAAAGAGGAUUAUCUUUGACAAUGAAAAUUAUGGAUUUUGGACAUUCAAUCAUUUGGGGCUGCUCAUUUUAAAGAAACUUGCUCGUGACCACGAUAACUGUGGAAAGAUAGGCAAUACUAGAGGUCUUCUGCCCAAAAUUAUAGAGUUCACACAAGCAGGAGAGAGAUUACUAAGAGAUGAAUCAGCAACGCCAACGCAGAUAUUGACACUUAAACGAUCUCUCCAGGUCGUGAAGAUGCUGGCAAGCACAGCAGGCGCCACAGGUAAAGAGCUAAGGAAAGAAAUUUCAGAGAUAGUUUUCACUAUUAGCAACAUCAGGGACUUACUAAGAUAUGGGGAGAAAUACCCUACUCUACAACACUUGGGAAUAGAGAUCUUGAAAAGUCUUGCAUUGGAAGAUGAUGCAACAGAGAGAAUUGGAGGAACUGGAGGAAUCCUUAAGGAGUUGUGCAACAUUUUUUUCAAGGACUCCACACCUAACAACCGCGGUCAAGUAAGAACAGCAGCAGGAGAAGCACUAGCUAUGUUGGCACUUGAAAGCAAGAACAACUGCCAUACGAUAUUGAAACUCAAGGUCACUGGAAAGCUCGUCGAAGCAUUGGAAGUUCCAUUGCUUCGAGUAAAUGCAGCAAGAAUCUUGAGAAACUUAUGUGUCUACAGUGGAUCAGGUUACUUUGAAGAAUUGAGAGAACUUGCUGUUGCAGGACCAACUGUAAGUACUAUACGAAAACUUAUUCUUUUUAGUUCCUAGUAUACUGCAGGUUAAAUUGAAUUCUGUCUUUUCAGGUACUCAAAGCAAUAAUGACAGAGGAAAACAAGUUACAGGAAGUAAUGAUGGGAGUAGGUGCACAUAUAUUCAAGUUUAUAACACCAGAAGAGUCAAGCAUCAUGUUCCAGAGAGCGAAAAUUCAAGAAGCUGAAUUGGCUGCAAAACUUGUUGAGAUUCUUAGGAAACAUCAACAUCCAUCAAUUAAGGUUCCAAGAAUUAGGAGGUUUGUCAUAGAAUUGUCGAUCUGGAUGAUGAGAGAUAAAAGAACAAACGUUCAAGCGUUCAGAAAUCUGGGAUUGGAAAGGGAACUGGAGUACAUUAUAGAAACCACAUCAGAGCUAGAGAGCUUUAAUGUUUUCUCAGGAACAGUUGGAAUGAAUCGACACACUGUGACUAUUCAUGCGCUGGUUGAUACUGCAAUGAAGUUGUUGGCUGGGGAAAAAGAAUGAUAGAAACCUCAACAGUUAUUGCACCAAAAAAUUGUUUCAGGUUCAUACUUUAGCCAUUCAAAGGCAAUAAUGGUGUAAAUAUUGAAGUAUAUAGUAGAGCAUUCUUUUUCUCUAAUUUAAUAUUAUUAUGUAGAGGGCUAUUACAGAAACAUAUCAUAAGUUACAGUAAUAUAUUGUAAUUCGCAACAAGUUCCACUGCUGUCUAUUUUAAUACUGCUUUUAUUUGACAGAGCAAAAUAUAAAGCUGGCAAAGAUCCAGCCAAAAUUUGCUAAACAAGGCACAGACUAAACAAGGUUCUGAGAUCAAGCAGAAAGCAAACUAGUAUUGCCACUACAGUUUGCAGACUCUAAUCCAAAAUGAUAUUUGUAUCACACAAGCCAAAUUAUAAAUUAAAAACCAGCACUAAAACCCAAACCAGGCUAUCCAAUGAAAGGAAAUAUAUGACCAAGCAAAAGGCAAACGACAAAUAGCCGCUCACCCAACCGUUUAAACUAACAUUAGUUGUCGGAUGUAUAAUAUAUAUCAUGUGCGAUGUGUAUAACCGUGUACGAUCAGUGUAUAAUCUAUGUAUAUCCUCUAGGAAAAGUAAAGAGUAAAUCCGGCAAGCUAUAAAAGAGUACUUCAAAUAAAUAGCAUUGACACUGACAGAAUUUCAGCGUUUUAAAAAGUAAAAGCAUGUUUCCAUGUUGAAAGAAUGAGAUGUGUUCUAUUUGUAUACAAUACACAAACACUAUAAAACUGAAUAAAAUAGAGAAAUUUGAGAGUGCUAACAAUUGCAAGAUUGUCAUGAAAAAAUUGUCAUCACCUGUACAUCUACAUAACACAUUUUGGUAAUCCAUAAUUUACAACAAACAAUGGGCCUAUGAGCCUAAUCUCUUCACAUUGGGAAUACAUAUACAAGCUGAAUCACUUGUACCAAUCAAGGAAGACCUAUGUAAAUCAGCGACAACCGAACCCACCCCCUCCAUUUCCCACAACCACCUGCCACAACUUACCACCCCUGACAGAAAGUACAAAUAUUUACUCCCCCCAAAAAUGUACAUCCAGCGAACAGCAAAUUUCUUUAACCGCUAUAACUUUUUCGGCUACACGUCUUUGUAAAAAGUCAAUCGUCUAACCAUU